UACGGAGGGGGCUAGCGUCGUUCGGAAUUACUGGGCGUAAAGCGUACGUAGGCGGCUUUUCAAGUCAGAGGUGAAAUCCCACGACUCAAUCGUGGAACUGCCUUUGAGACUGGAUCGCUCGAAGAUGGGAGAGGUUAGUGGAAUUCCGAGUGUAGAGGUGAAAUUCGUAGAUAUCCGGAAGAACACCAGUGGCGAAGGCGGCUAACUGGACCAUUCUUGACGCUGAGGUACGAAAGCGUGGGGAGCAAACAGG
rnacentral:rRNA from 1 species